rnacentral:misc_RNA from 1 species
AACGCACAUUGCGCCUUUUGGUAUUCCGAAAGGCAUGCUUGUUCGAGCGUCAUUAGACAUCAAGCUAGCUUGGUAUUGGAUAUGGUAAUACCUGUCCGAAACUGUUUGGCAGUUUUGAUUGAUGUAGCCGUAGUCAUACUCGAGCUACUGACAGAAAUACUCCAGAAGUCCUCAAGUUUGACCUCGAAUCAAGUAAGGUUACCCGCUGAACUUAA